GGAGAGGUGGCAGAGCUCGGUUGAAUGCACCAGUCUUGAAAAUUGGCAUGGGUUUGUAGCCCAUCGUGGGUUCGAAUCCCACCCUCUCCGCCA
rnacentral:tRNA from 1 species